rnacentral:lncRNA from 1 species
CGGGUGGUACUUGGGAGGGGCUGGAGAGGCACAUUUCCUGGGGAGGCAAAAGCACUCACAGAAGCCAGACAGCACGGUGCAGAGGCAGAAGCAAGGACGCUCCCGAGAUUCUGGCCUGAACAGUGCACGACACACCAACAGCAGGUGAAGAGGACCCACCAGUUCCCUCAACGGCCUUCACUGAAACUCCACCGCUCCAGACACUGUUCUCUGUGCUGGGACACGGGCAGCACAGAGACCCUGCCCUCACGGAGGUCCACUCUCUCGGGAGACAAGACAGUUACCCACACAGCAAGGAGGUGCGGCUGCGGGGUAAGUGCUUGUAAGACGGGAAGCUUGCUGCGGGGAAGGAAUCACGUCAGGGAUGGUCCCAGGGAGGCCUCUAGGACCGAGCUGCACAGGGAUGCUGUCCUCCAGCCUAGGUCGGGCUGAGGUCACGUUAAUCUAUUUCAUUUUUAGUAACACGGAGUUCAAAUUGGCCUGGAGCUCUGAGGACAAUGGAUGCAGUGGCAGGACUGUCUUGAAGCCAGGCACGGAGCUGGCAGGAUGGUAAAGCUCUCCCCGUGAGCUCUGCCAGCUUCCUCCCAACGUGUCAGCCCUCAUGGCUCCAGCUCUCUGGAUCCCUCUUCUUGCUGCGCCCAUGAACAAGUGUAUGGCGAGAGCCUGAAAUAAACAGGUGUAAAAUGGGUCAAGGCCGUCGCUUCUAUUUCUGUUUUAAACUGAAGAAAAUUUGCCCCAUUUCGAGAAGCAAAAAAGAGAAGAAAUCUGAAUAAAGGCAAACUACAGUAUGGAUUAAACACGCACGUACAUCCGUGUAUGUACAUGCACGCACCUCCCCCGCCACAGAUCCUAUACACACACCCACACACCUCUUUUAUUUCCCUGGAACUCAAGACUGGGUCUUGCACAAAUGUCUUUUUGCAAUUAUUACAGCAGAACUUUUACUGGCUUACAGCUGGGUUUGUUUUGUCUUUUGCAGUACUGGGACUGAAACCAGGGCCUUCAUACUGAGGUAUGAAGCCCUUAUUUAGAGACUGGAUCACAUUAAACUGCCCAGGUGGGCUCAAAUUUGUGCGCCUUGUAGAACACUGGGGGUAUAGGUGUGCACCACCAUGCUCAGCUGGAGGUUGUAUCGUUAAGUGGCCACAAAACUUUUUUUAAGAGAUCAAAUUAAAAAUU